UUCUCUGUUUUCCUCCUGCCUGAACACAGAGCCUGUAUAACAGCAGCAACAGAUGUUUCUCCCUAACUUCUCUUUGGUUUUGUGCUUCUCUUGCAGCAUCUCCUCCCAGUACUCCUCCGCCAUAUCCCCACACUCCGGCAGAGAUGUGGUGACAUCGUCCCGCCAGGUCCGCACGAUCGUCGAGGAGGUUCAGGAUGGGAAGGUGGUCUCCUCCCGGGAGCAGGUCGCACUCACCACUCGCUAGGAGGGCCAGUAGGACCCUCGACCCCAGGCUCAGGAGAGCAGUGAGCUGAGCCAAGCACUGCCUGAGGCCCUGGGUUGUGUCCCAGAAAGCUUCCUCCACCUCCUCCUCCUGCCUGUAUUACCCUCAUUCCAUGCAGGUGCCUCUGGACACACUUAAUAAAGCUUUUUCUCCUCGCUAGUG